UCUCUCUAUAUGCAUAUAUGCAUACAUGCUUAUGUAUAUAUGUGCACAUAUAUUUACUUAUGUAUGCAGAUUAUGUAUGCAUAUACACACAUAUAUAUGAACAUUAAUUUAUAUA
rnacentral:miRNA from 1 species